rnacentral:tRNA from 1 species
GCCUGGGUAGCUCAGGUGGUAGAGCGCGUCCUUGGUAAGGACGAGGUCACCGGUUCAAACCCGGUCCCAGGCUCCA